GACUGUGUCACCUGCCCCCUGAGCGUUCUGGAGCGCCAAGCUUCGCGAUCUUUGCCUUCCGGACUCGCAGACCGGCUCAAAGCCUCCCCUCAGCCUCUGGCUCCGUGAUUGGCAGGCAGCUGACAGAAGAAAAGUUAAAAGGUUAUUUCUGAAGAAGAGUUUCCUUCAGUGCCCUAAAGACCAACUGGAUAGAAGGAGAGCGGAGCAGAGGCUUGGAAGCUUGGAUCCCUCCUCCUGCACUCCCUCCCGGCCCCGACUCCGGAACAAAACAAGCAAACAAUAAAGCAAACUUGUUGCUCUUUUGUCUCAAAGUUUUGUGUGAGUUCCCAUCUCGUAAUCAGUGGGGUUGAGGGUGACGGGGAGCAGAAGUAACUAAUAUCAUUGUGUUUUCUUAGUUACAUUUUGGACAAAUUUUUACGGAUACUGGAGAUGAGAAGUGGACUCUGCUCUGUCCUGAAAACCUGGAAUCAUAACAUUUCAUGGCUAGGACUAGAGUGUCCUUGGCGCUGUGUUUCUGGUCAGUGUCAAUUGUGUGUCAUAUUGAGAUGCCCCCACAAAAACUGUCAUCAUCAACAGGCGCUCCAGAGCCGCUGGUAGCCUACCAAAUUGUUGGCUCAAUGGAAUGCUUACUUGUUGAAAUACACCAACUUUGGAAGCUCUGAGUCAAGUUUGGGACAGAGGUUCCUUGCUCUCCAGGAACUCCAGGGCUAGCUGUAUGCGGACUUGCAUAAAUAACAAGGGCUAUUCCACUGACUUUGUCUCUUUUUCUCAGGUUGUCAGCGGCAGGCUGCAAUUUUAAUUCUGUAAACGAUCUAGGAUGUUGGGAAGGAACAAAGAAAUUCAGGCAUCUCUCCUGAGAAGAGAAAGGGAGUAGAAUGCUCCAUCAUGAUGCUAACCACAAGAAUUGACUUGACGGGACAGAAUCAAGGGGAAGAACGUCAGUGAAACUUCUGGUGACAAUCACCCACUUAGGUCUUUAUUUUCCAUUUUUGCAUUUGUCAUACUUUUCAUAGUAAUGAAAACAAAUAUGUUGUGUAUAAUACUGGAUGUCAGCCUAUACAUUUGGUUUUUAAAUUUGGGGAAGGAAACUUCUUUCCACUCGAUUGAGCAGUUUCAUCUUUGCAAUGUAUUUAUUCUUUCUGAACUUUUGGGUAGUGUCCUCGUAUUAGUCUGUUUUCAUGCUGUUGAUAAAGACAUACCCAAGACUGGGUAAUUUAUACAGAAAAAGAGGUUUAAUGGGCUCACAGUUCCACAUGGCUGGGGAAGCCUCACAAUCAUGG
rnacentral:lncRNA from 1 species